rnacentral:rRNA from 1 species
GAUGAACGUUGGCGGCGUGCCUAAUACAUGCAAGUAGAACGCUGAAGGAGGAGCUUGCUCUUAUGGAUGAGUUGCGAACGGGUGAGUAACGCGUAGGUAACCUGCCUGGUAGCGGGGGAUAACUAUUGGAAACGAUAGCUAAUACCGCAUGACAACAGUUACUGCAUGAUAACUGUUUAAAAGUGGCAAAUGUUCCACUAACAGAUGGACCUCCGUUGUCUUUGUUAGUUGGUGAGGUUACGGAGCACCCAGGCGACGAUAGAUAGCCGACCGGGGAGGGUGAUCAGCCACACUGGGAAUGGGACACGGCCCAGGCUCCUACGGGGGGCAGCAGUAGGGGAUCUUCGGGAAUGGACGGAAAUCUGACCGAAGAACGCCGCGUGAGUGAAGAAGGUUGUCGGAUCGUAAAGCUCUGUUGUAAGGGAAGAAAGAGUGUGAGAGUGGAAAGUUCACACUGUGACGGUAUCUUACCAGAAAGGAACGGCUAACUACGUG